GUAUCCAAUAGCUAUUUGUUCACAUGGAAAUUAAGUAAUAAAACCAUUUCUAGUCUCAGCCAUUUAUUUUAUUGUCCUUUUUAAAUAGUUAUCUUUUUGUUCAGAAACACAUUUCAUAAUCAGAUUUUAUACAGUUUAGUUAAUGACAUUUCAUACAUUUUAGUUCAUGAAGUGUUAGAAACAUGUCACUGAGUGUUAAAAAACGUUAGUAAUUUUGUCACAAUAACAAACUCACAUAGAUCUGCUGGAAUAAACAAGUUAUGACAUAGCGACCAGGUAAACCUCUCAGGGAUGACAUAGUGACCAGGUAUGACAUAAUGACCAUGUAUGCCUAUCAGGGAUGACAUAAUGACCAGGUAUGACAUAAUGACCAGGUAUGACAUAAUGACCAGGUAUGACAUAAUGACCAGCUAUGACAUAAUGACCAGGUAUGACAUAAUGACCAUGUAUGACAUAAUGACCAGGUAUGCCUAUCAGGGAUGACAUAAUGACCAGGUAUGCCUAUCAGGGAUGACAUAGUGACCAGGUAUGACAUAAUGACCAGGUAUGCCUAUCAGGGAUGACAUAGUGACCAGGUAUGCCUAUCAGGGAUGACAUAGUGACCAGGUAUGACAUAAUGACCAGAUAUGCCUAUCAGGGAUGACAUAGUGACCAGGUAUGACAUAAUGACCAGGUAUGCCUAUCAGGGAUGACAUAGUGACCAGGUAUGACAUAAUGACCAGGUAUGCCUAUCAGGGAUGACAUAGUGACCAGGUAUGACAAUGACCAGGUAUGCCUAUCAGGGAUGACAUAGAGACCAGAUAUGCCUAUCAGGUAUGACAUAAUGACCAGAUAUGCCUAUCAGGGAUGACAUAGUGACCAGGUAUGACAUAAUGACCAGGUAUGCCUAUCAGGGAUGACAUAGUGACCAGGUAUGACAUAAUGACCAGAUAUGCCUAUCAGGGAUGACAUAGUGACCAGGUAUGACAUAAUGACCAGAUAUGCCUAUCAGGGAUGACAUAGUGACCAGGUAUGACAUAAUGACCAGAUAUGCCUAUCAGGGAUGACAUAGUGACCAGGUAUGCCUAUCAGGAAUAACAUAGUGACCAAGUAUGCCUACCAGGGAUGACAUAGUGACCAGAUAUGCCUAUCAGGGAUAACAUAGUGACCAUGUAUGACAUAAUGACCAGAUAUGCCUAUCAGGUAUGACAUAAUGACCAGAUAUGCCUAUCAGGUAUGACAUAAUGACCAGGUAUGCCUAUCAGGGAUGACAUAGUGACCAGGUAUGACAUAAUGACCAGGAAUGUCUAUCAGGGAUGACAUAAUGACCAGGUACGCCUAUCAGGGUUGACAUAGUGACCAGGUAUGACAUAAUGACCAGGAAUGUCUAUCAGGGAUGACAUAAUGACCAGGUAUGACAUAAUGACCAGGUAAGCCAAUUAGGGAUGACAUAGUCACCAGGUAAGCCUAUCAGGAUGACAUUGUCACCAGGUAAGCCUAUCAGAUUACAUAGUCACCAGGUAAGCCUAUUAGGGAUGACAUUGUCACCAGGUAAGCCUAUCAGGAUGACAUUGUCACCAGGUAAGCCUAUCAGGAUGACAUUGUCACCAGGUAAGCCUAUCAGGAUGACAUUGUCACCAGGUAAGCCUAUUAGGGAUGACAUUGUCACCAGGUAAGCCUAUCAGAGCCCUUUUCUGCACUCACCAGUCACCUGUCUGUCCCCCUAAUAUGUUUCU